GACGAACGCUGGCGGCGUGCCUAAUACAUGCAAGUAGAACGCAGUUGCGAACGGGUGAGUAACGCGUAGGUAACUGCCUCAUAGCGGGGGUUAACUAUGGGAAACGAUAGCUAAUACCGCAUAUUUUGAGAUGGACCUGCGGUGGAUUAGCUAGUUGGGUGGGUAAAGGCUCACCAAGGCGACGAUACAUAGCCGGGCUGAGAGGGUGAACGGCCACACCUGGAACGGGGAACGGGCCAGACUCCUUCGGGAGGGAGGCGUAGGGAAUCUUUGGCAAUGGGCUGAAGUCUGAAUGAACAAAGGCGCGGGAGUGAAGAAAGGUUUCCGAGCGUAAAACUCCGUUGUUAGGGAAGCGGUAACUAACCAGAAAGCAACGGCUAACUACGUGCCAGCAGCCGCGGUAAUAC
rnacentral:rRNA from 1 species